rnacentral:rRNA from 1 species
AUGGGUGCUACUACCACGAACAAGAAGCCGCACGCUGUGUUCGUGCCGUUCCCGGCUCAGGGCCACAUCACGCCGAUGAUGAAGCUGGCAAAGAUCUUUCACUGCAAGGGCUUCCACGUCACCUUCGUCAACACCGAGUAUAACCACCGCCGUCUGGUCCGCUCCCGCGGUCCUCACGCCGUGGCAGGCCUUCCGGACUUCCGCUUCGCCACCAUUCCUGACGGUUUGCCUUUGUUCGAUGCCGACGCCACGCAGGACAUACCAUCCCUCUGCCAUUCCAUCAUGACCACCUGCCUCCUUCCCCAUCUAAGGAACCUACUCCACGACCUCAACAGUGUGGCUGGGGUGCCGCCAGUGAGUUGCGUUGUGUCGGACGAAGUCAUGAGCUUUAGCAUGGAUGCCGCGGUGGAACUCGGCGUGCCAUGUGUGCUGUUCUGGACUGCCAGUGUCUGCGGUUUCAUGGGCUACCGCAACUUCCAGUUCCUCCUAGACGAGGGCCUCACCCCUCUUAAAGAUGAAGAGCAAGUGAAGAACGGGUACUUGGACACGCCGGUGACACGGGCACGCGGGAUGAGCAAGCACAUGCGCCUCCGAGACUUCUCAUCCUUCAUCCGCACGACGGACCCUGGCGACGUGAUGUUCAACUUCCUCAAGCAUGAGGCCGAGCAGUCGGACCGUGCGGCCGCCGUCAUCCUCAACACCAUUGACGAGCUCGAGCAGAAGGCUCUGGACGCCAUGUGUUCCAUCCUCCCUAUACCCGUCUACACCAUCGGCCCGCUUAACGUCCUUACUGAGCAGCUGGUUUCGGAAGGCGAUGUUGGCGGCACGCUCGCCGCCAUACGCCCCAGUCUCUGGAGAGAAGACCGGUCCUGCCUCGAAUGGCUCCAGGGUAGGGAGCCCCGAUCUGUGGUGUAUGUCAACUACGGAAGCAUAACCACCAUGUCCGAGCAGGAGCUGGUGGAGUUUGCGUGGGGGCUUGCCAACUGCGGCUUCGACUUCCUCUGGAUCAUGAGGAACGACCUGGUAAAGGGUGAUGCUGCCAUGCUGCCUUCUGAGUUCCUAGAUGCAACCAAGGGCAGGUGUCUCCUUGCGAGCUGGUGCGAACAGGAGGCGGUGUUACGGCACGAGGCAGUGGGCGCCUUCUUGACGCACUGCGGGUGGAACUCCACGAUGGAGGGCCUUAGUGCCGGGGUGCCAAUGUUGUGCUGGCCCUUCUUCGCCGAGCAGCAAACUAACUCCCGUUACGCGUGUGUGGAGUGGGGCGUUGGGAUGGAAGUUGGCGAUGAUGUGCGCCGGGAGGUGGUUGAGGCAAGGAUACGGGAGGUGAUGGGAGGAGAAGGGGUGGGGAGAGAAAUGAGGCGGAAGGCGGCGGAGUGGAGCGAGAUAGCCGUUCGUGCGACAACACAACCUGGUGGCAGGUCACUGGCCAACCUUGAGAGUAUGUUCAAGGAUGUACUACUCCACUAA